rnacentral:rRNA from 1 species
UACGUAGGGUGCAAGCGUUGUCCGGAAUUAUUGGGCGUAAAGAGCUCGUAGGCGGUUUGUCGCGUCUGCUGUGAAAACUCGGGGCUUAACCCCGGGCCUGCAGUGGGUACGGGCAGACUAGAGUGCGGUAGGGGAGACUGGAAUUCCUGGUGUAGCGGUGAAAUGCGCAGAUAUCAGGAGGAACACCGGUGGCGAAGGCGGGUCUCUGGGCCGUAACUGACGCUGAGGAGCGAAAGCGUGGGGGGAGCGAACAGG